UGGGGGUGAUGGUGUAUGUGUGGGGGGGAGUAUGUUUGUGUGGUGGGGGUGAUGGUGUAUGUGUGGUGGGGGAGUAUGUUUGUGUGGUGGGGGUGAUGGUGUAUGUGUGGUGGGGGGUGAUGGUGGUGAUGGGGUGAUGGUGGUGGUGGUGAUGGGGUGAUAAGGUGAUGGUGGUGAUAAUGUGAUGGUGGUGAUGGGGUGAUGGUGGUGAUAAGGUGAUGGUGGUGAUGGGGUGAUGGUGGUGAUGGUGGUGAUGGUGGUGAUAAGGUGAUGGUGGUGAUAAGGUGAUGGUGGUGAUGGUGGUGAUGGUGGUGAUAAGGUGAUGGUGGUGAUAAGGUGAUGGUGGUGAUAAGGUGAUGGUGGUGAUGGGGUGAUGGUGGUGAUGGUGGUGAUAAUGUGAUGGUGAUAAU
ensembl:lncRNA